rnacentral:rRNA from 1 species
AGUCGAGCGGCAGCACGGGAAGCUUGCUUCCUGGUGGCGAGCGGCGGACGGGUGAGUAAUGCAUAGGAAUCUGCCCGGUAGUGGGGGAUAACCUGGGGAAACCCAGGCUAAUACCGCAUACGUCCUACGGGAGAAAGCAGGGGCUCUUCGGACCUUGCGCUAUCGGAUGAGCCUAUGUCGGAUUAGCUGGUUGGUGAGGUAAUGGCUCACCAAGGCGACGAUCCGUAGCUGGUCUGAGAGGAUGAUCAGCCACAUCGGGACUGAGACACGGCCCGAACUCCUACGGGAGGCAGCAGUGGGGAAUAUUGGACAAUGGGCGCAAGCCUGAUCCAGCCAUGCCGCGUGUGUGAAGAAGGCCCUCGGGUUGUAAAGCACUUUCAGUGGGGAAGAACGCCUUCCGGUUAAUACCCGGGAGGAAAGACAUCACCCACAGAAGAAGCACCGGCUAACUCCGUGCCAGCAGCCGCGGUAAUACGGAGGGUGCGAGCGUUAAUCGGAAUUACUGGGCGUAAAGCGCGCGUAGGUGGCUUGAUAAGCCGGUUGUGAAAGCCCCGGGCUCAACCUGGGAACGGCAUCCGGAACUGUCAGGCUAGAGUGCAGGAGAGGAAGGUAGAAUUCCCGGUGUAGCGGUGAAAUGCGUAGAGAUCGGGAGGAAUACCAGUGGCGAAGGCGGCCUUCUGGACUGACACUGACACUGAGGUGCGAAAGCGUGGGUAGCAAACAGGAUUAGAUACCCUGGUAGUCCACGCCGUAAACGAUGUCGACUAGCCGUUGGGUCCUUCGCGGACUUUGUGGCGCAGUUAACGCGAUAAGUCGACCGCCUGGGGAGUACGGCCGCAAGGUUAAAACUCAAAUGAAUUGACGGGGGCCCGCACAAGCGGUGGAGCAUGUGGUUUAAUUCGAUGCAACGCGAAGAACCUUACCUACCCUUGACAUCCUGCGAAUCCGUCAGAGAUGAAGGAGUGCCUUCGGGAACCCAGAGACAGGUGCUGCAUGGCUG